UUGUGUUGAACAGUGUGAUUGCAACAUAAUUUGAACAUCUUUUAAAUAUGAAAAAAUAGCUAUCAAUUUUUGGAAUUAAAUUUACUCAUUGCUUUAGUUACAGUGUGAAAGGAUGAUUUGAAUCAUUAACCAGAUUAUAGAAUUGAAUAGUAAAGGGUUUGUGUAGAGUUUAAAUGUUCCUUUACGAAAUUAUACAUGUAGCUAACACUUCACAAGCUGCCGAAAAUAGAGUCUCAUCGAUUGCG